rnacentral:tRNA from 2 species
GGUGACGUGGCCGAGUUAGGUUAGGCAGAGGCCUGCAAAGCCUCCUACGGCGGUUCGAAUCCGCCCGUCACCUCCA